rnacentral:rRNA from 1 species
GGGGAAUAUUGGACAAUGGGCGAAAGCCUGAUCCAGCCAUGCCGCGUGUGUGAAGAAGGUCUUCGGAUUGUAAAGCACUUUAAGUUGGGAGGAAGGGCAGUAAGUUAAUACCUUGCUGUUUUGACGUUACCGACAGAAUAAGCACCGGCUAACUUCGUGCCAGCAGCCGCGGUAAUACGAAGGGUGCAAGCGUUAAUCGGAAUUACUGGGCGUAAAGCGCGCGUAGGUGGUUUUGUAAGUUGGAGGUGAAAUCCCCGGGCUCAACCUGGGAACUGCCUCCAAAACUGCAUGACUAGAGUACGGUAGAGGGUGGUGGAAUUUCCUGUGUAGCGGUGAAAUGCGUAGAUAUAGGAAGGAACACCAGUGGCGAAGGCGACCACCUGGACUGAUACUGACACUGAGGUGCGAAAGCGUGGGGAGCAAAC